UACGGGGGGGCAAGCGUUGUUCGGAAUUACUGGGCGUAAAGGGCUCGUAGGCGGCCAACUAAGUCAGACGUGAAAUCCCCAGGCUCAACCUGGGAACUGCGUCUGAUACUGGUUGGCUUGAAUCCGGGAGAGGGAUGCAGAAUUCCAGGUGUAGCGGUGAAAUGCGUAGAGAUCCGGAGGAACACCAGUGGCGAAGGCGACACGCUGGGCCGUACCUGACACUGAUGCGCGACAGCAUGGGGAGCAAACAGG
rnacentral:rRNA from 1 species